GGGGCUAUAGCUCAGUUGGUUUAGAGCGCUGCUUUUGCACGGCAGAGGCCAGCGGUUCGAAUCCGCUUAGCUCCA
rnacentral:tRNA from 3 species